rnacentral:rRNA from 1 species
CAGCAGCCGCGGUAAUACGUAGGGGGCGAGCGUUGUCCGGAAUGACUGGGCGUAAAGGGUGCGUAGGCGGCCUGCAGGGUCCUGGGUGAAAGGUCCCGGCUUAACCGGGGAGGGUCCUAGGAAACCGGCAGGCUAGAGGGCUGGAGAGGGCCGCGGAAUUCCCGGUGUAGCGGUGGAAUGCGUAGAUAUCGGGAGGAACACCAGUGGCGAAGGCGGCGGCCUGGACAGUACCUGACGCUGAGGCACGAAAGCUGGGGGAGCAAACAGGAUUAGAUACCCUGGUAGUCCCAGCCGUAAACGAUGAGUGCUAGGUGUGGUGGGGGCGAUCCCUGCCGUGCCGCAGUAACCCAAUAAGCACUCCGCCUGGGGAGUACGGCCGCAAGGCUGGAAACUCAAAGGAAUUGACGG